rnacentral:rRNA from 1 species
AUUGAACGCUGGCGGCAUGCUUUACACAUGCAAGUCGAACGGCAGCGCGGGCUUCGGCCUGGCGGCGAGUGGCGAACGGGUGAGUAAUGCAUCGGAACGUGCCCAGUAGUGGGGGAUAGCCCGUCGAAAGCCGGAUUAAUACCGCAUACGACCUGAGGGUGAAAGCGGGGGACCGAAAGGCCUCGCGCUCUUGGAGCGGCCGACGUCGGAUUAGCUAGUUGGUGGGGUAAAGGCUUACCAAGGCGACGAUCCGUAGCUGGUCUGAGAGGACGACCAGCCACACUGGGACUGAAACACGGCCCAGACUCCUACGGGAGGCAGCAGUGGGGAAUUUUGGACAAUGGGGGCAACCCUGAUCCAGCCAUGCCGCGUGCGGGAAGAAGGCCUUCGGGUUGUAAACCGCUUUUGUUCGGGAAGAAAUCCUCUGGGCUAAUACCCCGGGGGGAUGACGGUACCGGAAGAAUAAGCACCGGCUAACUACGUG